rnacentral:rRNA from 1 species
AUGAACGCUGGCGGCGUGCCUAGUACAUGCAAGUCGAGCGAACAGAUGAGGAGCUUGCUCCUCUGACGUUAGCGGCGGACGGGUGAGUAACACGUGGAUAACCUACCUAUAAGACUGGGAUAACUUCGGGAAACCGGAGCUAAUACCGGAUAAUAUAUUGAACCGCAUGGUUCAAUAGUGAAAGACGGUUUUGCUGUCACUUAUAGAUGGAUCCGCGCCGCAUUAGCUAGUUGGUAAGGUAACGGCUUACCAAGGCAACGAUGCGUAGCCGACCUGAGAGGGUGAUCGGCCACACUGGAACUGAGACACGGUCCAGACUCCUACGGGAGGCAGCAGUAGGGAAUCUUCCGCAAUGGGCGAAAGCCUGACGGAGCAACGCCGCGUGAGUGAUGAAGGUCUUCGGAUCGUAAAACUCUGUUAUUAGGGAAGAACAAAUGUGUAAGUAACUAUGCACGUCUUGACGGUACCUAAUCAGAAAGCCACGGCUAACUACGUG